rnacentral:misc_RNA from 1 species
AAUAAUAAUAAUAAUAAUAAAGGGUGUUCGCUUAAAAUAUGCAUAAAGCAUCCAAAAGAAACACUGGUAGACGGAACAAGUGAAAGAACAAGACAGGACAAAUACAAACAAAACAAAACCAAACCAAACCAACAUUUAAAACCUGGAAUUCAAGCUAUCAAGAAAUACAAGGCUUCCAUUUUUUCAAUUGCUUAAUGUGCUGAACAGAUAAUCAGAUU